rnacentral:rRNA from 1 species
AUUGAACGCUGGCGGCAUGCCUUACACAUGCAAGUCGAACGGUAACAGGUCUUCGGAUGCUGACGAGUGGCGAACGGGUGAGUAAUACAUCGGAACGUGCCCGAUCGUGGGGGAUAACGGAGCGAAAGCUUUGCUAAUACCGCAUACGAUCUACGGAUGAAAGCAGGGGACCGCAAGGCCUUGCGCGGACGGAGCGGCCGAUGGCAGAUUAGGUAGUUGGUGGGAUAAAAGCUUACCAAGCCGACGAUCUGUAGCUGGUCUGAGAGGACGACCAGCCACACUGGGACUGAGACACGGCCCAGACUCCUACGGGAGGCUG